GGGCGCUUGGCUCAGCUGGUUAGAGCGCCACGUUUACACCGUGGAUGUCAGAGGUUCAAAUCCUCUAGCGCCCA
rnacentral:tRNA from 2 species